rnacentral:rRNA from 1 species
CUCAAGUCGUGCGGCCCUUCGGGGCAGCGGCGAACGGGUGAGUAAUAGUAAGGAACGUACCCUAAAGUAGAGGAUAGCUCCGCGAAAGCGGGGGUAAUACUCUAUGUGUCCUCCGGGACAAAGCUUCCGCGCUUUAGGAACGGCCUUACUCCUAUCAGCUUGUUGGUAAGGUAAUGGCUUACCAAGGCGAUGACGGGUAGGGGCACUGAGAGGUGAAGCCCCCACAAUGGAACUGAGACACGGUCCAUACUCCUACGGGGGGCAGCAGUUGGGAAUAUUGCACAAUGGGCGAAAGCCUGAUGCAGCGACACCGCGUGUAGGAAGAAGCCCUUCGGGGUGUAAACUACUUUUAUAUCGGAGGAUUG